AGGUUGGGCACGUUGCCGGGGGAGAGACGCUCGAGGCUUCGCCUCAGUCGGCCGAGCAUCCAGCGCUGUAGCGCAUUCAGCCGCAGCGGCCGCUCAUCAGGUCGUACACGCACUGUCUGGGUCGGCUGGUCGCCACUGGACGGUGACGCUGGUGACGGCUCUGACACAGCACAGCGUGCCGGUGUGCGGCUAGUUCUUGACGCGGAACGCUUCACCCGCCGCACCCGUAACAACGCGCUUCCAGACGCAAACUCGACGAAAGCAUACCUCUGCAAACCGCGUGGCAUGGGACAUAGGCGUCUUGCAGGUUAUUGGAGCACAGCCUCAGUACACGUUUAUGCAACAGAAGCGCGUCAAGCGCAGAGCGUAUCGGUGCAACCGAGGCCGCCCAGAGCUCGCUGUACCUGCCGCGCGCGAACCUGUGCUGCGUCAACUGCCCUGCUGCUGUCGUGUGUUGUAACAUACGCUCUGCAACCGGCACAAGAUCAUGAGGUCGCAAGCCCACGACCCUCGGUCGAUAGAGUAUGCGCGCUUUCGUCGGUGCGCAUCGCUUCAGAUGCGUCCUGUGUUGCAGGCGACACGAAAGCGCCUCGUAUUACAGACUUGUCGAGAAAGGCGCACCUGAGACACGCUUGUAACCGUCAUACAUGUACAAAAGGCGCAUCCGCUGGCGAUCCUAUGCCACGCUGCUCUGCGGAUCGCCGUCUGUGAUGCACAGACCAGCGGCAGUGUCGCUCGAAAUCUCGCCUGCCGCAUGCACAGUGCGUACGCGAUGAAUGCCGUCCUAGUGCUUCUCCUCGGUGAGACUCGGAUGCGGUACGAGGCCACUGAGAUAAUUCGGCCAGCGCUUCAGGUUAUUCGGAUCGCAGUACCAGGUCUUGGUUCGGCGCAGGCCCUCUUCCCAGGACACCUGCGGCCUCCAGCCAAGCGCAUGCAGCUUCGACGAGUCGAUCCUGUAGCGCAUAUCGUUGAGGGUGCGAUCUUUGACAAACUCGAUGUGGCGGUUCGCCUCGGCAGACAGGCCGAAGAGAUCGAUAAUGUCGUGCACAACGUCAAUGUUGCGUUUCUCGAUCUCAGAGCCUACAUUGUAGACCUCAUCGGUCUCGCCACAAUGCAGGAUGGUGUCAAAGGCGCUCGCCGCGUCCUCGACGUACAAAAAGUUGCGUGCAUGCUCACCAGAGCCGUGUACAAAGCAGGGCCGGCGUUGCGCCAGCAGACAGAUACUCUUGGGAAUGAGCUUGUCGGGGAACUGGUGCGGCCCGUACACGUUGUUGCCGCGUGUGAUGAUCACCGGCAAUCCGAACGACUUGACGUAGCCGCGGCAAAUGAAUUCGGCGGCGGCCUUGCUACAUGCGUACGGGUUCGUGGGUGCCAGGAUCGAUGACUCUGUCUCCAUGUUGCUCUCGCCGCCGUACACCUCAUCGGUGCUGACGUGAAUGAAGCGCCGCACUUUGCCGUACUGGCGUGCGCACUCCAGGAGAACGUGCGUUCCCAGCACGUUGUUCUCCGUAAACAGGAUCGAGGACGUGAACGAGUUAUCGACGUGCGUGCACGCCGCAAAGUGGAGCACUGUAUCGAUGCACUCCUCCUGGAGCACGUAGAGCACCAGGUCAUGCGAGCGGAUAUCGCCGCGAAUAAACUUGAAGUUUGGUCGGUUUGCCACCUGCGCGAGGUUGCUCAGCGACGAGCAGUAGUCGAGCUUGUCCAGUACCGUCACGCGGUAAUGGGGAUAUCGACUCACGAGCCGUUCGACAACGUGCGAGGCAAUAAAGCCGGCACCGCCAGUCACAAGGAUAUUCCGCGGCACGAAGCGCAGACGGUCGCCGUAGACGACCCGCGCGUCCGAGUUCCCGUCGGGCUGUCCACCGGUUACCGACUUGGCACCGUUCGAAAGCGCCGUGCUCUGCGAGGACAUUUAUCUUGCCAACGUGCGCCUUUCGACUCGGACGCACACAACCACACGCACCGGCUACUUCCGAGCUCUGCCUGCACAGACGGUAAACGCCACGAUCG